UACGGGGGGUGCAAGCGUUGUUCGGAUUUACUGGGCGUAAAGGGCGCGUAGGCGGCCACCGCAAGUCGACUGUGAAAUCUCCGGGCUUAACCCGGAAAGGUCAGCCGAUACUGCGGGGCUAGAGUGCAGAAGGGGCAACUGGAAUUCUCGGUGUAGCGGUGAAAUGCGUAGAUAUCGAGAGGAACACCUGCGGCGAAGGCGGGUUGCUGGGCUGACACUGACGCUGAUGUGCGAAAGCUAGGGGAGCGAACGGG
rnacentral:rRNA from 1 species